UACGGAGGGUGCAAGCGUUAUCCGGAUUCACUGGGUUUAAAGGGUGCGUAGGUGGGCAGGGAAGUCAGUGGUGAAAUCUCCGGGCUUAACUCGGAAACUGCCAUUGAUACUAUCUGUCUUGAAUACCGUGGAGGUUAGCGGAAUAUGUCAUGUAGCGGUGAAAUGCUUAGAUAUGACAUAGAACACCAAUUGCGAAGGCAGCUGGCUACACGAAUAUUGACACUGAUGCACGAAAGCGUGGGGAUCAAACAGG
rnacentral:rRNA from 1 species